AGGGUGGAACAUUUAGAGAUGGCAAGUGGUUCAGUGUGGCUGGAGCUCAGGCUCUGCAGUGGGGAAUAUUCAAAGACUAAAUGUAGCCAGGAGUCUGGAGUCAGAGAAGGAAAGUCCAAGUCUGGGGUGAAGGAAGAAUAAUCUGAGCUUGAAAUAAAGACUUAGAAUGUAGACCACCACCUUCUAGCUCAAAAUUAGAAGACAUUAUUGGAUAGUUGCAAGAAGUUAUGAACUUGAGAAUAACCCAGAAAUAAGCCAUGGAAGAAAUGACUGCUUCCCCUUCACCUUCAACCAUGACUGAAAGUUUCCUGAGACCUCCCCAGAAGCCAAGCAGAUGCCAGCUUCAUGCUUCCUUUACAGCCUGUGGAAAUAUUUACCCAACUAGGAUGAUUCUUGCCUUCAUUGCUUUUCAGCUUCAUUCAAGAACACCAGGUUUUUCUCCUGCCCUCAACAUGUAAGUUAAAAGGGAUUCUAAAUGUUUCAAUGGAAGAUAAACUUCAUGUCCUUCAAAUUAAGAGAAGCUGAAAAGAUAAAUAGAAUAUGAUGAGUAGCAAGAAUUGAGAGAAAAUG
rnacentral:lncRNA from 1 species